AUUGAACGCUGGCGGCAGGCCUAACACAUGCAAGUCGAACGGUAACAGGAAGAAGCUUGCUUCUUUGCUGACGAGUGGCGGACGGGUGAGUAAUGUCUGGGAAACUGCCUGAUGGAGGGGGAUAACUACUGGAAACGGUAGCUAAUACCGCAUAACGUCGCAAGACCAAAGAGGGGGACCUUCGGGCCUCUUGCCAUCGGAUGUGCCCAGAUGGGAGUAGUUAGUAGGUGGGGUGACCGCUCACCUAGGCGACGAUCCCUAGCUGGUCUGAGAGGAUGACAGGCCACAGUGGAAGUGAGACACGGACCAGACUAAUACGGUGAGCAGCAGUGGGGAAUAUUGCACAAUGGGCGCGAGCCUGAUGCAGCCAUGCAGCGUGUAUGAAGAAAGCCUUCGGGUCGGAAAGUACUUCCAGCGGGGAGGAAGGGAGUAGAGUUAAUACCUUGCCAUAUUGACGUUACCCGCAAAAGAAGCACCGGCUAACUACGUG
rnacentral:rRNA from 1 species